rnacentral:rRNA from 1 species
UACGUAGGGGGCAAGCGUUGUCCGGAUUUAUUGGGCGUAAAGAGCGUGUAGGCGGCCACGCAGGUCCGUUGUGAAAACUGGAGGCUCAACCUCCAGCUGUCGACGGAAACCGUAUGGCUAGAGUCCGGAAGAGGAGUGUGGAAUUCCUGGUGUAGCGGUGAAAUGCGCAGAUAUCAGGAGGAACACCAAUGGCGAAGGCAGCACUCUGGGACGUGACUGACGCUGAGACGCGAAAGCGUGGGGAGCAAACAGG